rnacentral:rRNA from 1 species
CGGGAGGCAGCAGUGGGGGAUAUUGCACAAUGGGGGAAACCCUGAUGCAGCGACGCCGCGUGAGUGAAGAAGCAUUUCGGUGUGUAAAGCUCUAUCAGCAGGGAAGAAGAAUGACGGUACCUGACUAAGAAGCCCCGGCUAACUACGUGCCAGCAGCCGCGGUAAUACGUAGGGGGCAAGCGUUAUCCGGAUUUACUGGGUGUAAAGGGAGCGUAGACGGCAAUGCAAGCCAGAUGUGAAAACCCGCAGCUCAACUGGGGGAGUGCAUUUGGAACUGUGUAGCUGGAGUGCAGGAGAGGUAAGCGGAAUUCCUGGUGUAGCGGUGAAAUGCGUAGAUAUCAGGAGGAACACCAGUGGCGAAGGCGGCUUACUGGACUGUAACUGACGUUGAGGCUCGAAAGCGUGGGGAGCAAACAGGAUUAGAUACCCUGGUAGUCCACGCUGUAAACGAUGAAU